rnacentral:rRNA from 1 species
GAGUUUGAUCAUGGCUCAGAACGUACGCUGGCGGCACGCCUAACACAUGCAAGUCGAACGAAGUAGCGAUACUUAGUGGCAGACGGGUGAGUAACAUGUAGGUAUCUGCCCUUUGGCCUGGAAUAACACGAGGAAACUUGUGCUAAUACCGGAUAAGUCUUUACGGAGAAAGCUUUAUGCACCAUUGGAUGAGCCUGCACUUGAUUAGUUUGUUGGUAGGGUAAUGGCCUACCAAGACUGUGAUCAAUAGCUGAUUUGAGAGGAUGAUCAGCCACAUUGGGACUGAGACACGGCCCAAACUCCUACGGGAGGCAGCAGUGGGGAAUCUUGCACAAUGGAGGAAACUCUGAUGCAGCGAUGCCGCGUGAGUGAAGAAGGCCUUUGGGUUGUAAAGCUCUUUCGUCGGGGAAGAAAAUGACUGUACCCGAAUAAGAAGGUCCGGCUAACUUCGUGCCAGCAGCCGCGGUAAUACGAAGGGACCUAGCGUAGUUCGGAAUUACUGGGCUUAAAGAGUUCGUAGGUGGUUGAAAAAGUUGGUGGUGAAAUCCCAGAGCUUAACUCUGGAACUGCCAUCAAAACUUUUCAGCUAGAGUUUGAUAGAGGAAAGCAGAAUUUCUAGUGUAGUGGUGAAAUUCGUAGAUAUUAGAAAGAAUACCAAUUGCGAAGGCAGCUUUCUGGAUCAUUACUGACACUGAGGAACGAAAGCAUGGGUAGCGAAGAGGAUUAGAUACCCUCGUAGUCCAUGCCGUAAACGAUGUGUGUUAGACGUUGGAAAUUUAUUUUCAGUGUCGCAGCGAAAGCGAUAAACACACCGCCUGGGGAGUACGACCGCAAGGUUAAAACUCAAAUGAAUUGACGGGGACCCGCACAAGUAGUGGAGCAUGUGGUUUAAUUCGAAGAUACGCGCAGAACCUUACCAACACUUGACAUGUUCGUCGCGACUCUAAGAGAUUAGAGUUUUCGGUUCGGCCGGACGAAACACAGGUGCUGCAUGGCUGUCGUCAGCUCGUGUCGUGAGAUGUUGGGUUAAGUCCCGCAACGAGCGCAACCCUCACUUUUAGUCGCCAUCAUUAAGUUGGGCACUCUGAAAGAACUGCCAGUGAUAAGCUGGAGGAAGGUGGGGAUGACGUCAAGUCCUCAUGGCCCUUACGUGUUGGGCUACACACGUGCUACAAUGGUAUUUACAACAGGAAGCAAAACUGCGAAGUUAAGCAAAUCCCUAAAAGAUACCUCAGUUCGGAUUGCACUCUGCAACUCGAGUGCAUGAGGCUGGAAUUACUAGUAAUCGUGGAUCAGCGUGCCACGGUGAAUGCGUUCCCGGGUCUUGUACACACCGCCCGUCACACCAUGGGAGUUGGUUCUACCUUAAGGCAAGGCUUUAAACCCUUGACCACGGUAUAGUCAGCGACUGGGGUGAAGUCGUAACAAGGUAACC